rnacentral:tRNA from 1 species
GCUCGGUUAUUUUAACGGGAGAAUACUUCCCUUACAAGGAAGAGGAGUUGGUUCGAUUCCAACACUGAGUA